UACGGAGGAUGCGAGCGUUAUCCGGAUUUAUUGGGUUAAAGGGUGCGUAGGCGGACUAUCAAGUCAGCGGUAAAAUUGAGAGGCUCAACCUCUUCCCGCCGUUGAAACUGGUGGUCUUGAGUGGAUGAGAAGUACGCGGAAUGCGUGGUGUAGCGGUGAAAUGCAUAGAUAUCACGCAGAACUCCGAUUGCGAAGGCAGCGUACCGGCAUCCAACUGACGCUGAGGCACGAAAGCGUGGGGAUCAAACAGG
rnacentral:rRNA from 1 species